AGCUCGUUAGCCCAGUGGAAGAGCGACGGGCUCAUAACCCGUAGGACGCUAGAUCGAAACUAGCACGAGCUA